GACGAACGCUGGCGGCGUGCUUAACACAUGCAAGUCGAACGGAAAGGCCCUGCUUUUGUGGGGUGCUCGAGUGGCGAACGGGUGAGUAACACGUGAGUCACCUGCCCUUGACUUUGGGAUAACUUCAGGAAACUGGGGCUAAUACCGGAUAGGAGCUCCUGCUGCAUGGUGGGGGUUGGAAAGUUUCGGCGGUUGGGGAUGGACUCGCGGCUUAUCAGCUUGUUGGUGGGGUAGUGGCUUACCAAGGCUUUGACGGGUAGCCGGCCUGAGAGGGUGACCGGCGACAUUGGGACUGAGAUACGGCCCAGACUCCUACGGGAGGCAGCAGUGGGGAAUAUUGCACAAUGGGCGGAAGCCUGAUGCAGCAACGCCGCGUGCGGGAUGACGGCCUUCGGGUUGUAAACCGCUUUCGCCUGUGACGAAGCGUGAGUGACGGUAAUGGGUAAAGAAGCACCGGCUAACUACGUG
rnacentral:rRNA from 1 species